CUACGGGAGGCAGCAGUGGGGAAUAUUGCACAAUGGGCGCAAGCCUGAUGCAGCCAUGCCGCGUGUGUGAAGAAGGCCUUCGGGUUGUAAAGCAUUUUCAGCGAGGAGGAAGGUGGUGAGCUUAAUACGCUCAUCAAUUGACGUUACUCGCAGAAGAAGCACCGGCUAACUCCGUGCCAGCAGCCGCGGUAAUA
rnacentral:rRNA from 1 species